rnacentral:lncRNA from 13 species
UUUUAUAUAUUAUGAAGACCUUCACAUCAACUCUUUGCAGUCAAGGAUGGAGAUUUAUGAGGAUGGUUUAGGCAAACUUGUUAAGUUAGCUAUUUAAGCUACCCUGAGAUUUAAAAAACAAACAGCAGAAAACCAAAACCAUACAAAAAUCAAAAACAAAUAACAAAACACACAAACAUGUAAAUGAUUCAUAACGUCUAUUUGUAAGAAACACUUUAUGUCCCAGUUUUCAAAGCAUAGAUAAUAUAUUAGUCAUCUAACCAAGGUCUGACACAAGCUUGAGAGUACAGUUGUUUUCCUUAUACUUUUGGUAUAGUGCUGUAGUGAAGUGCAGAACGAUAGUGUCAGGUAAAUCUAAUUUGCACCUUGGUUUGACUGUUCACUGGCUGUGUGAUGUUGGGGAAAAAAUGAACUUUUUUAAUCCCCAUCUAAAAAAUGAGAACAUGUGUUUCUCUCUUCACAGGUUGAGCAAAGUUUGUGAGACAAUGCUUAUUAAGUGCUUAACAUUGAGCCUGCCAUAUAGUAAAAGCACGUGAGCACUUCUGCCAGUGCCUUUAUGUGUACGGUCGUUUUUAUCCUCUCACCUUCUCUGCAAAAUGGGCAGUGAUCUUAUCUUUACUAAAUGAGCAAUCUGAAGCUCAGGUAAGUUGUGGAAUAGAAAAGGUAAGACAUCAAUUUUUCAUGUGUUGCUUUUAAAAAACUUAGUGAAUGUCUACUGUUUUCCAGGCACUGUUCUAAGUACUGUAGAAACCCCCAUUUCCUGUCUUCAUAAAGAGGACUCUGUAGUGAGUGAAUAGGGAGCUGAAUUUGGAUCAGUAUUGAGGAACUAAUGGAGGUGGGACACAGAUCAUGGGAACCUGGUAAAUCUUGUCUUUGACUCUUAGAAGAAUGGGAUCUGCAGGGUCCUUGUACUUGCUUUAAUGGUCUGUUAGUCUUUUCUACAUCUUUUUUUUUAAAGCAUCAUUUUAUUGGCUUAACAUUAAAGUCCUGUCUCAGGGCCCAUAACCCAGAAUCCUAAAGAGGGCCACAGCAGGCAGCCACAGUGUAAGGGAGGAGCCCUGGUGUGUGUUCCUGGGUAGGCAACACACUGACAGUUGUCUUAAGACACCUCACAGUCUCCUCUGCCACCUAGAUCUCCAGUGAUGUGGGCAGUGGUCAGGAUCACCCAGAGGUAAGGUAGAGGUAGAAUAAACUUCACCUUGAUUCUCUGACUAACA